GACGAACGCUGGCGGCGUGCCUAAUACAUGCAAGUAGAACGCUGAAGAGAGGAGCUUGCUCUUCUUGGAUGAGUUGCGAACGGGUGAGUAACGCGUAGGUAACCUGCCUUGUAGCGGGGGAUAACUAUUGGAAACGAUAGCUAAUACCGCAUAACAAUGGAUGACACAUGUCAUUUAUUUGAAAGGGGCAAUUGCUCCACUACAAGAUGGACCUGCGUUGUAUUAGCUAGUAGGUGAGGUAACGGCUCACCUAGGCGACGAUACAUAGCCGACCUGAGAGGGUGAUCGGCCACACUGGGACUGAGACACGGCCCAGACUCCUACGGGAGGCAGCAGUAGGGAAUCUUCGGCAAUGGGGGCAACCCUGACCGAGCAACGCCGCGUGAGUGAAGAAGGUUUUCGGAUCGUAAAGCUCUGUUGUAAGUCAAGAACGAGUGUGAGAGUGGAAAAUUCACACUGUGACGGUAGCUUACCAGAAAGGGACGGCUAACUACGUGCCAGCAGCCGCGGUAAUACGUAGGUCCCGAGCGUUGUCCGGAUUUAUUGGGCGUAAAGCGAGCGCAGGCGGUUUGAUAAGUCUGAAGUUAAAGGCUGUGGCUCAACCAUAGUUCGCUUUGGNAACUGUCAAACUUGAGUGCAGAAGGGGAGAGUGGAAUUCCAUGUGUAGCGGUGAAAUGCGUAGAUAUAUGGAGGAACACCGGUGGCGAAAGCGGCUCUCUGGUCUGUAACUGACGCUGAGGCUCGAAAGCGUGGGGAGCGAACAGGAUUAGAUACCCUGGUAGUCCACGCCGUAAACGAUGAGUGCUAGGUGUUGGAUCCUUUCCGGGAUUCAGUGCCGCAGCUAACGCAUUAAGCACUCCGCCUGGGGAGUACGACCGCAAGGUUGAAACUCAAAGGAAUUGACGGGGGCCCGCACAAGCGGUGGAGCAUGUGGUUUAAUUCGAAGCAACGCGAAGAACCUUACCAGGUCUUGACAUCCCGAUGCUAUUUCUAGAGAUAGAAAGUUACUUCGGUACAUCGGUGACAGGUGGUGCAUGGUUGUCGUCAGCUCGUGUCGUGAGAUGUUGGGUUAAGUCCCGCAACGAGCGCAACCCCUAUUGUUAGUUGCCAUCAUUCAGUUGGGCACUCUAGCGAGACUGCCGGUAAUAAACCGGAGGAAGGUGGGGAUGACGUCAAAUCAUCAUGCCCCUUAUGACCUGGGCUACACACGUGCUACAAUGGUUGGUACAACGAGUUGCGAGUCGGUGACGGCAAGCUAAUCUCUUAAAGCCAAUCUCAGUUCGGAUUGUAGGCUGCAACUCGCCUACAUGAAGUCGGAAUCGCUAGUAAUCGCGGAUCAGCACGCCGCGGUGAAUACGUUCCCGGGCCU
rnacentral:rRNA from 1 species